rnacentral:rRNA from 1 species
UGGGGAAUAUUGGACAAUGGGCGCAAGCCUGAUCCAGCCAUGCCGCGUGUGUGAAGAAGGCCUUUUGGUUGUAAAGCACUUUAAGCGAGGAGGAGGCUACUUGGAUUAAUACUCUAGGAUAGUGGACGUUACUCGCAGAAUAAGCACCGGCUAACUCUGUGCCAGCAGCCGCGGUAAUACAGAGGGUGCGAGCGUUAAUCGGAUUUACUGGGCGUAAAGCGUGCGUAGGCGGCUUCUUAAGUCGGAUGUGAAAUCCCUGAGCUUAACUUAGGAAUUGCAUUCGAUACUGGGAAGCUAGAGUAUGGGAGAAGAUGGUAGAAUUCCAGGUGGAGCGGUGAAAUGCGUAGAGAUCUGGAGGAAUAUCGAUGGCGAAGGCAGCCAUCUGGCCUAAUACUGACGCUGAGGUACGAAAGCAUGGGGAGCAAACAGG